rnacentral:rRNA from 1 species
GACGAACGCUGGCGGCGUGCUUAACACAUGCAAGUCGAACGGAAAGGCCCUGCUUUUGUGGGGUGCUCGAGUGGCGAACGGGUGAGUAACACGUGAGUAACCUGCCCUUGACUUUGGGAUAACUUCAGGAAACUGGGGCUAAUACCGGAUAGGAGCUCCUGCUGCAUGGUGGGGGUUGGAAAGUUUCGGCGGUUGGGGAUGGACUCGCGGCUUAUCAGCUUGUUGGUGGGGUAGUGGCUUACCAAGGCUUUGACAGGUAGCCGGCCUGAGAGGGUGACCGGCCACAUUGGGACUGAGAUACGGCCCAGACUCCUACGGAAGGCAUCAGUGGGGAUUAUUGCACAAUGAGCGGAAGCCUGAUGCAGCAACUCCGCGUGCGGGAUAACGGCCUUCGGGUUAUAAACCGCUUUCGCCUGUGACGCAGCGUGAGUGACGGUAAUGGGUAAAGAAGCACCGGCUAACUACGUG